rnacentral:rRNA from 1 species
UCGAACGGUAGCACAGAGGAGCUUGCUCCUCGGGUGACGAGUGGCGGACGGGUGAGUAAUGUCUGGGAAACUGCCCGAUGGAGGGGGAUAACUACUGGAAACGGUAGCUAAUACCGCAUAACGUCGCAAGACCAAAGAGGGGGACCUUCGGGCCUCUUGCCAUCGGAUGUGCCCAGAUGGGAUUAGCUAGUAGGUGGGGUAAUGGCUCACCUAGGCGACGAUCCCUAGCUGGUCUGAGAGGAUGACCAGCCACACUGGAACUGAGACACGGUCCAGACUCCUACGGGAGGCAGCAGUGGGGAAUAUUGCACAAUGGGCGCAAGCCUGAUGCAGCCAUGCCGCGUGUGUGAAGAAGGCCUUCGGGUUGUAAAGCACUUUCAGCGGGGAGGAAGGCGAUACGGUUAAUAACCGUGUUGAUUGACGUUACCCGCAGAAGAAGCACCGGCUAACUCCGUGCCAGCAGCCGCGGUAAUACGGAGGGUGCAAGCGUUAAUCGGAAUUACUGGGCGUAAAGCGCACGCAGGCGGUCUGUCAAGUCGGAUGUGAAAUCCCCGGGCUCAACCUGGGAACUGCAUUCGAAACUGGCAGGCUUGAGUCUUGUAGAGGGGGGUAGAAUUCCAGGUGUAGCGGUGAAAUGCGUAGAGAUCUGGAGGAAUACCGGUGGCGAAGGCGGCCCCCUGGACAAA